rnacentral:snoRNA from 1 species
GCGCUGAUGUCUUUGACACGUGUUAGACUUCUGACACGCAUGAAGCAAAACUACCUCUGAGC